GGAAAGCUGCCGGAGUGGUCGAUCGGGCUUGACUCGAAAUCAAGUGUACGGGUAACCGUACCGGGGGUUCGAAUCCCUCGCUUUCCGCGA
rnacentral:tRNA from 1 species